UGCUCCUCCAAAGCCGGAGCCCAAACCUAAAAAGGCCCCUGCAAAGAAGGGAGAGAAGGUACCAAAAGGGAAAAGGGAAAAGCUGAGGCUGGCCAGGAGGGGAAUAACCCUGCAGAAAAUGGAGAUGCCCAAACAGACCAGACACAGAAAGCUGAAGGUGCUGCAGAUGCCAAGUGAAAAUUAGACCUUUACGAGAAGCACAGUUUUGUCUUCAGUUUCCUCUCCCCCCACCCGGAAUGGCCUGAGCCGAAGCCAGCUCCCUCCGAGAAGUCAUUACCGCCUGACUUGCGUUUGAUAUUUAGACACCUUGGUCACAACAUCUUGCAUUCUCUCGGGAUGCUGAUUUCUAACUGCUCUUUGGCCUUUCCUGCAUUGGUCCUCCUCAGGCAGGGGAUCCCUGCUCUUCUAUAUUAAUGCUGGCUCCCCGUCCCCUGUCCACCAUGAGUCAAAGCAAUGUGAGUCCCUCACCAGAUGCAACUGCCCAGUCUUGGACUUUCCAGUGACCAGAAUCAUGAGCCAAAUAAACCUCUUUUCUUUAUG
rnacentral:lncRNA from 10 species